GUUGGCAAAUGGCCGCGGACCCGCCAGUUCCCAGGCUUCUUGGGAUCCCCUCGAAAAGCCCCCUCGCGAGUAUCUGAAGCCAUCAGUUCACUGCCAGAAAUGAAAACUUCCUGUCACUAGUCACCUGCCGUUUGCUUUUUCAAAACCACCAUUUCCGCUGUGCUCUGGGUUGUCACAAAUCCUCCUUCACCCCAGGAGCGCCCCUUGGACCCCUGGCCGGUGGCAGGGCCCACACCUGGGUUGGGCCUCUCACGGGGACGCUCCCGCCACUGCAAUAAAGAGGAGAAAACGUCCCAGGGGAAAGACCUGACCCUGUUACAUUCAGUCAGAAAACAGCCACAGGAAGGGGCUUUGGGAGCUACAUCCACCACUCCUCUGACCCGACCCAGGCUGCUUCCCAGGCCUCGGGAUCCUAGUGUGAACCUCCGGGCCGUGAUUAACGCAGUUUUUCAGAUUAAGUACUCCAAGACUGCACGCUGUUGAAACUGUCAUAGGCACAGCCUCAGCUCCCUGCAGGGCAGACACACGAGCAGAAUCUCCGUGGGGCAUCUUUCUGGAGCAUCAAUAUUACUGCAGGCUUUGGAAGAAACAAAUAUAAAUAAUUUCUAAAGUAAAAUAUGGAACAUUUAAGACAAGGCUGGAAAAGUCAUCCACCUUUAAUAACUAUCACCUGUGCCUCACAUGGCAGACUUUCUCCAAGAAAAAUACUCUAAGGAGAACCUAUUUCCAUUCUUAUAAAUAAUAAAAAUGAUAAAUCAUAUCAAGUAAA